rnacentral:tRNA from 1 species
CUGUAGCUCAGUGGUAGAAAUUCUGCUUUGCGUGCAGGAGGUUCCAGGUUCAAUCCCCAGCAUCUCGA